rnacentral:Y_RNA from 1 species
GGUUGGGCCAAGUGCAGUGGUGUUAUAACUAGUUGAUCACAACCAGCUAUAGACUUCUUGGUUUCUUCUCUAUCUCCUUUGCUUCACUUGACUAGCCUUAA